rnacentral:rRNA from 1 species
UACGGGGGGGGCAAGCGUUGUUCGGAAUUACUGGGCGUAAAGGGCGCGUAGGCGGCCAACUAAGUCAGACGUGAAAUCCCCAGGCUCAACCUGGGAACUGCGUCUGAUACUGGAUGGCUUGAAUCCGGGAGAGGGAUGCAGAAUUCCAGGUGUAGCGGUGAAAUGCGUAGAUAUCAGGAAGAACACCCGUGGCGAAAGCGGCUCUCUGGAACGGUACUGACGCUGAGACGCGAAAGCGUGGGGAGCGAACAGG